rnacentral:rRNA from 1 species
UCAAUGGACGCAAGUCUGAACCAGCCAUGCCGCGUGCAGGAAGACGGCUCUAUGAGUUGUAAACUGCUUUUGUACGAGGGUAAACUCACCUACGUGUAGGUGACUGAAAGUAUCGUACGAAUAAGGAUCGGCUAACUCCGUGCCAGCAGCCGCGGUAAUACGGAGGAUCCAAGCGUUAUCCGGAUUUAUUGGGUUUAAAGGGUGCGUAGGCGGUUUGAUAAGUUAGAGGUGAAAUUUCGGGGCUCAACCCUGAACGUGCCUCUAAUACUGUUGAGCUAGAGAGUAGUUGCGGUAGGCGGAAUGUAUGGUGUAGCGGUGAAAUGCUUAGAGAUCAUACAGAACACCGAUUGCGAAGGCAGCUUACCAAACUAUAUCUGACGUUGAGGCACGAAAGCGUGGGGAGCAAACAGGAUUAGAUACCCUGGUAGUCCACGCAGUAAACGAUGAUAACUCGUUGUCGGCGAUACACAGUCGGUGACUAAGCGAAAGCGAUAAGUUAUCCACCUGGGGAGUACGUUCGCAAGAAUGAAACUCAAAGGAAUUGACGGGGGCCCGCACAAGCGGAGGAACAUGUGGUUUAAUUCGAUGAUACGCGAGGAACCUUACCCGGGCUUGAAAGUUAGCGACGAUUCUUGAAAGAGGAUUUCCCUUCGGGGCGCGAAACUAGGUGCUGCAUGGUUGUCGUCAGCUCGUGCCGUGAGGUGUCGGGUUAAGUCCCAUAACGAGCGCAACCCCUACCGUUAGUUGCCAUCAGGUGAAGCUGGGCACUCUGGCGGGACUGCCGGUGUAAGCCGAGAGGAAGGUGGGGAUGACGUCAAAUCAGCACGGCCCUUACGUCCGGGGCUACACACGUGUUACAAUGGUAGGUACAGAGGGCAGCUACCCAGCGAUGGGAUGCGAAUCUCGAAAGCCUAUCUCAGUUCGGAUUGGAGGCUGAAACCCGCCUCCAUGAAGUUGGAUUCGCUAGUAAUCGCGCAUCAGCCAUG